rnacentral:rRNA from 1 species
CGAAUGAAUCAGCCCUGAAAAUGGAUGGCGCUACAUUGCGGUGCCGAUACUCAACCAUCAGGGCAAAUCUGAAGCCUUGAUGAGUAAGAGGGCGUGGGCGUGGUGUCGAAGCCGAGGCGUGAGCCAAGGUGGAACCGCGCUUAGUGCAGAUCUUGGUGGCAGUAGCAAUUAUUCAAAUGAGAACUUUGAAGGCCGAAGUGGAGAAGGGUUCCAUGAGAACUGUAUUGGGUCAUGGGUUACUCGGUCCUAAGGCACAGGGAAACUCUUCUUGAAGCGCUUUUAGCGCGUUGCCAAAAGGGAAUGUGGUUAAUAUUCCACAAGCCGGUCGGGGAUAUUGUGCGGUAACGCAAACGAGCUUGGAGACGCCAAAACGAACUCCUGGAAGAAUUGUCUUUUCUUUUUAACUGUCUAUCGCCCUGGAAUUGGAUUGUCCAGAGAGAUGGCUUCAUGACAGGAAGAGCGGUUCACUAUUUGAACCGUCGGGUGCGUUCGUAGUGGUCAGUGAAAAUCCAGGGGAGAUUGUUAUUCGCCCGCCGGUCCGUACCAACAACCGC